AGUGGAUCGCCCUCCCUGCCAAAAGGAAGGCUUUGUCCACAUAGAUGCAAGGUUUGAAGGCUGCGUUGAGGUGGUCGACGACACGUUCGUGUGCAUAAGUGGGCCGUAUGAAAAGGACGAUGGCAACAAGGCUGCUUACUUUUGCCGCAAGAACUUUUACGCCCUCAGCGUCAUGGUGGUAUGUGACCAACCCUGCCGAUGACCGCCCUCGCACUCGGGGCCCGUGCACGACGCCUUUAUGUGGAAGACAUGCACCGUGAGCCAGGACUGGGCAGUGGACGCCGUGGCCAGGUGAUAGUGCAUACUCGCUUCAACCUUGGCUGCUUAACCCCAUCCCUGGAGCACAUCCUGCAGAAUCCUCUGCUGCCCGAUUCCACCGCACCCACUCUUCACUGCGGUGCGUCGUAUAACUGUGCACUGGAGUCCUCAAGGCCCACUUUCGGUGCUUGCAGAGGUAC